GAGGCUCGCGCCGCUGCGCUGCUCGCAGUCUUCGGCGAAGGUUUUCAAAAGAUGUUUUCAGCUCCGAGGAUCAGCUAGGUCUCUGAGAGGUGACACAUCCUGCAUCUGGCUGGCCAGCACCCCGCUCUCUCUGAUUGUUUCCUUUCAAACUUUUUUUCUACAAAAUUUCAGACAACAUCAUCAUUUUGUAUCUGUGUGCGUCUUCCCCAAUUUCCGCAUUAUUUUUCCUCUUCGUGCUGCACCCCAGGAAUUUCAUGGACAGUUUUUGCUGCAGUCAGCUCGCUGCUCCGGGGCAACAUUGUUGUGCCAAGAGAGAACCGACCUACAAGCCUCAUUUUAUUUUGGAGCCUGGGUGAGAGUGUGCCUUGUAUUGUCUCAGUUACUCAUGACCAGAGCGGAUGGAGCAGUGAGUCACCUACCAGACAUUAUUAGAGCUGUGACAACAAGAAACCAGAUGAAACCUUUAAACUGUAUCUGCUUUCCAGACCACAGAAAUACAGCAUAUUGACUUUGCUUUGACUUAGGCAAACUCCAAAGCCUGGUAAGGACUCUUCUACAAUCACAAGUGCAAAUUAUGUACCUAGGCAAAUGGCUGUAUUCUAGUACAUGUCCUAGACACUUUAAAUGCCACUCCAAGCCAUUGGCUCGGUUUAAAAAUAAUGACCUGUGGCAAUAAGGUUCUGAAAGUUAUAAGGAAGUAUUUAUUUCUAUUUGUAAUGCAUAAGUCCAUGGCAGUGGAUGGAAAACUUCCUGCUGCUCAAAUGUAUUGUCCAUGUGCAUUCAGACAUGUAGAUGUGGUGCUUAGGGACACGGUUUAGUGGUGGA